rnacentral:lncRNA from 1 species
UUUUCUUUUUCUUUUUUCUCUUUUUUUUGUCUUUUUGCCUUUUCUAGUGCCGCUCCCGCGGCAUAUGGAGGUUCCCAGGCUAGGGGUUGAAUCGGAGCUGUAGCCGCUGGCCUAUGCCAGAGCCACAGCAACGCGGGAUCUGAGCCGCGUCUGCGACCUACACCACAGCUCACAGCAAUGCCAGAGCCUUAACCCACUGAGCAAGGCCAGGGAUCAAACCCAAAACCUCAUGGUUCCUAGUCGGAUUUGUUAACCACUGAGCCACAACGGGAACUCCAGUUGAUGCCUUCUUGAAUGAUCUCUCUGAGUACUUCAUUUGCAAAUCAACGCCUGGGCAAAUGACAUCCAACUAACAUCUUAAAACACAGACUUAAUCUCAAAUAUCAAAGGAUGCAAGUUUCCACAUGUUAGAAAUUGUUCAGGAGGAAACUGAACAAGUUAAUAAGUAGAAUCAGCCACAGUUAUUUGUGAUUUUUAGGUGUAUGGAAUAUUUUUCCAAGAUAUAAAUUACUGAUUAUUUAUUUAUCAGAUACAGUAACAAUUUUUAUUUCCACUAGCUAAUGUAUUAGUAUUCCCCUUACCCAUAUUUUGUGUGAUAUAUCUCAUUUUACAAUGUUUAAAAUCUCACUGGCUAUAAAUUGUUGAUAACCUAAUCAAUUAUUUUGUCAUGAUUUUAUUAUAUAUUACAGAUAACUUUAAGCAAAAUUUUUGUUAUGAAAGUUUUAAAAAAUCCAUUUGUCAAGUACUUUGAUUAGUAUAUAUAUUAGAAACAUAUCAGUAUAUGUGUGUAGACUUUAAAAAAUCUCUAAUUUAUCUAUAAAAUUGUUAUUUUUAAUAUAUUCAUAAUUUGAAUCUGAGUUGCUGAUUUUUUCUUUAUCUUUUUGUUUUAUUUUCUCUAUUAGGUAAAAACUAUUUCCUCUUACUUUUAGGCUUGGUAGACUGAGUCGAAAUGUGAAGACGUCCCUCUUUCUAAGACAUGAAGUUUUUGGUGAAAAUACAACAAAUAAUACAUAUGUAAGUGCAACUAACAUCAAGACACACAUCUUGAGAUUUCAGAAUAAAAGGCAAAUGGUGGUUUUUUUCUUUUUAAUUACUCAAUGAAUUUUAUUACAUUUAUAGUUGUACAAUAAUCAUCACAACCAAAGUUUAUAGCAUUUCCAUCUAAACUCCUCUCUGUGUCUGGUUAUUUAACCUAUGAAAUGAAAAUUAAUAGGAUUACCAUUUUAAAAUCUUAAUGAGAACUCAGAUUCAAUAUAGACUAAGGCUUUAGAAUAAUGCCUUGUUACAUAGUAAAUGAUUAAUAAAUUUCAGCUGGUUUUCUUAACACAAUUUAGAUCAUAUAGCUAUGAACCAUGUUUUACCAACAAAUGUGCAGUGUAGUAGGCCUCCGACUUCAAAUGGGUUAUUUCUAUUGUCUGGGCCACGAAGGACUGUCACAUGCAAAAUAGAACAUAUGAAGAUCAUGCCUGACAGCUCAUGAAACAACAAGGAAGCUUGGUACCAGUCAGGAAAUCAUAGUUGUAAAAUUGCAGAAACCAACAAUUACAGGAGGGAAAUGCACACAAUCCUAAAGUGUUCUCAUUGCAAGGAGAAUUUUUUGUUUGUUUAUUUGUAUCAAUAUGAGAAGAUGGAUGGUGGGUGAAUCUCUUGGGAUAAUCAUUUCACAAUAUAUGUAAAUAAAACCACUACAGUUUAUGCCUUAAACAUGAAUAGUGAUAUAUGUCAAUUAUUUCUCAGUAAAACUGGAAAGAAUGAUUAAUUUUCCCUUUCUAGGUAGCAUAAAAGGACUUUUCUAUUAUCCUCACAAUGAGAACCUGAUAGGGCUCAUUAAAAUGUGGUGGUCCCAUAAGACUGGACCCCAUCAGAGUCAUUUUUUUUUUCUUUUCUUACAGCUGCACCUGCAGCACAUGGAAGUUCCCCGGCCAGGGGUUGAAUUGGAGCUACUGCUGUGGGCUGCACCACAGCCAUGGCCUACACUGCAGCUUGUGGCAACACCAGAUCCUUAACUGAGUGAGGCCAGAGAUCAAAUCUGCAUCCUUAUGGUCCCUACAUGUCGUUCUUAAAUCACUGAGCCACAACAGGAACUCCCCAUUCAGAGUUUUUUGUUUUUUGUUUUUGUCUUUUUGCCAUUUCUUGGGCCACUCCCACAGCAUAUGGAGGUUCCCAGGCUAGGGGUCCAAUCAGAGCUGUAGCCACCGGCCUAUGUCAGAGCCACAGCAACUCAGGAUCCGAGCCAUGUCUGCAACCUUCACCAAAGCUCAAGGCAACGCCGGGCCAUUAACCCACUGAGCAAGGCCAGGGAUCGAACCCUCAGCCUCAUGGUUCUUAAUCGGAUUUGUUAACCACUGCACCACGACAGGAACUCCCCUGUUCAGAGUUUUUAACUCUUAAACUAGUCUACACUGAGCUUUCAGCACUUCAUCAAUUACAGUUUAAAGUGUUCCUUCUGACAUUGGCUCUAGUUGUAGUUGUUUGAUUCUGGGUUCUGCUCUUGAUAAGCUGAGAUUUUCUGUAUCUGCCUGUAUGUUUAAGUUUUUUCAGUGUAGCAAUUUGCACAGAGAUCUCAAUUCUCUACUGGGCAUAAGAAUUGUUUAUUUUCUGUUCAGCUUUUUUGUUGUGGUUGUACGGAUAGGGGUUAUGAUUUCUGGGCUUUUUACAUAUCAGACUGGAAGAUUUUUGAUAAGAGCACUAAAGCAGUUCUGUGGGAAAAGGAAAAUAUCACCAACAAAGGAAAUGGAAACAAAUUACUAUUCAUACAGAAAAGAGAAUGAGAAAUUUGACCCCAAUUUCAC